CUUGUCUCCUGCCCCUGAUGAGAGUAGCCUAGAGGAAGGGAGCCCAGGCAGGUGCCCCUUCAGGCUGAAGCAGGUGAGUCACCUAGCAAAGCCGAGUGAAGCCUUGAGAGGAUGCUACUUGGGCCAGAAGAACCUUGGGGUAAAUAGGUCCCAACUGUGCCUGUGGACCCCAAGAGGGGCCACCAGACUUCCUCGCCAAGCUUUCAGCCAAAGGUGAUUGUAAUGCUGUGUGAAAACCAGGUCUCAGCUGUGUUUUGGAAUGCAUGGUUGAACCCAAUACCAUGCUUGGGCCACACAUGAUGGAGAUCAAAAGUCGCUUGACAAGGCUGGUUCUAAGAUGGCUAGAGCCUGACCGUGGUACCCAUCCGCCUACCUAGCCCAGAAGAAGAAAUAUGUAACUGACUUCAGCAUCUACGGUCAGCAUCCAUCACUGACUUCAGCCCCAAUCCCAAAUGGCCUACUAAUGUAUACUCACCCACUU
ensembl:lncRNA